CUCUUUCUCUGUGAAUUUCUUGAGAGCACAGACUACAUUCUGCUUAACUUUUUAUCCCCAGCUUUCAGCACAGUGCCUGGCUGCUUUGGCGUCUCCAAGUACCUGACCUCAGCUCAACCUGUCUUGGGUUUUCUUCUCCUCCCUGACAUUGACAACCCAGCCCUCCUAGGCACAGAGAGAUGGAGCUGAGUGUGGUUUUCCUGAAAUAAAGCUUGCAUUAUGAGAGGGAAUAAACAGAAGAAAAAAAUAGUAAGUAAAAUCUUGCUUGCCUCUCAGUAAAAUAAAGCUCUAUUUUUCGUUUUUUUUUUUUCCAACUUCCUGUACAAAAAAGGGAAAACUUUAGCUUUUGGGGGAAAUUUGGAGCUAGCCUGUUGGUACUGUUGAGCUUAGUGUAUCUAUAACUAUAUAUUAUUCCACAAUAUCUUAAAUACUUUAUAAAGAUAUUUUCAUAAAU